rnacentral:rRNA from 1 species
GACGUAGGGCGCGAGCGUUGUCCGGAUUUAUUGGGCGUAAAGAGCUCGUAGGCGGCUUGUCGCGUCGACUGUGAAAACCCGCGGCUCAACUGCGGGCCUGCAGCCGAUACGGGCAGGCUAGAGUUCGGUAGGGGAGACUGGAAUUCCUGGUGUAGCGGUGAAAUGCGCAGAUAUCAGGAGGAACACCGGUGGCGAAGGCGGCUUCCUGGACACCAACUGACGCUGAGACGCGAAAGCGUGGGGAGCAAACAGG